rnacentral:rRNA from 1 species
UCGAACGCGACUUAGGCUUCGGCCUGAGUUGAGUGGCGAACGGGUGAGUAACACGUGGGUGACCUACCUUCGAGUGGGGGAUAACGUCCCGAAAGGGACGCUAAUACCGCAUAACAUCCUGCCUUUGAACAGGUGGAGAUCAAAGCCGGGGAUCGCAAGACCUGGCGCUUGAUGAGGGGCCCGCGUCUGAUUAGCUAGUUGGUGGGGUAAUGGCUCACCAAGGCGACGAUCAGUAUCCGGCCUGAGAGGGCGGACGGACACACUGGGACUGAGACACGGCCCAGACUCCUACGGGAGGCAGCAGUGGGGAAUUGUUCGCAAUGGGCGCAAGCCUGACGACGCAACGCCGCGUGGAGGAUGAAGGUCUUCGGAUUGUAAACUCCUAUUGCUCGGGACGAAAAGCUUCGAUCUAACACGUCGAAGUCUGACGGUACCGAGUGAGGAAGCCCAGGCUAACUCUGUGCCAGCAGCCGCGGUAAUACAGAGGGGGCAAGCGUUGUUCGGAAUUACUGGGCGUAAAGGGGCGCGUAGGCGGCCUGCUAAGUCGAACGUGAAAUCCCUGGGCUCAACCCAGGAACUGCGUCCGAUACUGGUUGGCUUGAAUCCGGGAGAGGGAUGUGGAAUUCCAGGUGUAGCGGUGAAAUGCGUAAAUUUCUGGAGGAACACCGGUCGGCGAAAGGCGACAUCCUGGACCGGUUUUGACGCUAAGGCGCGAAAAGCCAAGGGGAC